rnacentral:rRNA from 1 species
AGCGAACGCUGGCGGCAGGCCUAACACAUGCAAGUCGAACGAACCUUUCGGGGUUAGUGGCGGACGGGUGAGUAACACGUGGGAACGUGCCUUUAGGUUCGGAAUAACUCAGGGAAACUUGUGCUAAUACCGAAUGUGCCCUUCGGGGGAAAGAUUUAUCGCCUUUAGAGCGGCCUGCGUCUGAUUAGCUAGUUGGUUGAGGUAAUGGCUCACCAAGGCGACGAUCAGUAGCUGGUCUGAGAGGAUGAUCAGCCACAUUGGGACUGAGACACGGCCCAAACUCCUACGGGAGGCAGCAGUGGGGAAUCUUCGCAAUGGGCGAAAGCCUGACGCAGCCAUGCCGCGUGAAUGAUGAAGGUCUUAGGAUUGUAAAAUUCUUUCACCGGGGACGAUAAUGACGGUACCCGGAGAAGAAGCCCCGGCUAACUUCGUG